UUAGAGGAGUGGUAUGGAAAACAAUUAAGGAUUUUGUAAGUGUGCUACUUACAAAAUCCUUAAUUGUUUUCCAUACCACUCCUCUAA
rnacentral:pre_miRNA from 1 species